GGAUGACAUGGGGGUGAGUAAAUUAUCAGGAAAAUUUUAUAUGAAAGUGAACUAAUCCUUUAAUGUAAUAAACAUCAUACAAUAGUGAAAUAGGUUAUAAUUAGUCAAGACAUCACGAUGAUAACUUUUGAUCAGGUAUUACCGCCUGGGUCCUAAAGGAUUCCUGGGGGGGACUCGAUUUCUCAUGACACGGCCAGUGUGCCAAUAUGACGCUGACAUCUCAAAUCUCGAGUCUGUGCAUAGUGAACUUGAAGCCCGAAUCUGCGCAGGAAUGGAGCCGCGGUAUCAAGGUCCCGCCCACACUCCUGCAGAAUCGGUUAAUACUGCUCAUUAUGUCGGUGUGAAAUAAAUAGUUCUGGAAAUGUCGAAAUUACAGCUCCAAUCUCUUCCCGAAGAUCCAGAAAAAAGUCUGUGUGCUUCAGUGACUACUUCCCUCAGAGAAGCUGUCAAUCAUGACUUAAAAACCCACGUUUUUAUAUCAUCAAAUAACUAGCUAAAAACAAACUUAUUUAAAGAACAAACACUUUAACAUCAGCGUGAUAAAAACUGCCUAAAAUGACAGAAACCGUCUUUGGAAAAAAAAUAUUUGACAUCUAAUUUGACUGUUUAGUUUGUCUCACGUCCCAUUACAUUACAUGGAGAGGGCGGGGUUUAUGACCUAUACUGCAUCCAGCCACCUGGGGGCGAUCGAGACGCUUUGGCUUCACUUUUCAGGACUCGUGUGGCACGCUUGAGUUUAGACAUAUGGCAGCUCUUCUGUCAAAUGUCUCCAUGUAGCAGUUACAUGAAUAAAACAUUCAUGCUGUUGUAUCUUCAGAUGAAUCUGAUUGUUCUGAGAGAAAAUGAUGCAUGAUCGUGGUAUUCCCUUAUCAUGAAUCAAGUCUUCCAAACCUGCAGGAAACAUGCUCAACGAGAAAUGUGAGCCGAAGGCCGUACGUGCGUCUCAUGGGAACGGCUGCAGAUAAUAGUCAGUGCAUGAUCUCCAUGGUGUCAGCAGACACGUGUUUACUCAUUACGCCCAUAAGAUAGAGACUUUCCAUACCGACAGUUAAUGCAGCGAGAGCCAUCGAGAGCAGUCCCAGAAUGCAUUUCACUUUUUAUUCCUAUUUGCACCUGCAAAUACAUUGAAUUAGGCUAAAUGUGACAUUUUGAAGUAGAAAAACUGAAAUAGUAUUUGUUUUAUUCACAACAAAUUUGGUAACACUUGAAGCCUUUAUGUAUGCUGCAUUAUAAAUGGACUUUAUAAUGCAUUAUAUCUUGUAACUAAAGUUAAAAUGCAUUAUAAUAUUUGCAGAUUCCUUGUUACAUCUAAUAUUGGUUGUUUUUCAUGUGUUUUAAUGCAUUAUACUUCCUAAAGGUGUUACAAUGACUAGAUAAGUAUUAUAACUGUGGUUACAAUUAUUCAUGAGAUCAUACAAAGCAUUAUAAUGUGCAUUACAAGGCAUAAUUAAUGCAUUAAAAAUACUUUUAUAGUGCAUUAUAUAUAUCUAUACAGGCUUUAAGUAAAGUGUAAUAGCGAUGACUGAGUAAUCAACCACCACUUACUAGCUAAAUAAAAAGCCAUCAUGACGCAUCAGUCUCUCAUGGAAAAACUCAGCAAGGCCUGAAAAUAUAGCGAGAACAUGAUCAUUUUAGAGACUCUUAGUACGGCAUUAUAGGAAUCGCUCUGCACUUCAUAGAAUGAAUCUCUUGUAGAAAGCUCUCCAGAUAAUUCUCCAUCCCCUCACAAGCUCUGUUUAUGCCUGGUAAGUACCCAAGAGAGAGUGUGUGAGGGUCUCUGUGGUAUAUUGCUCUGUCAAUGUGCCCUACUUGCAGGUACACAUGACUAGGAUGAAGUCGCUGACAAACACGAGAAAGAGAUGACGACUUUGUCAUCAUUUAUUGUCGCCCUUUACCUUCUAGGAUUCUCUUGUUCUUCACGGAGCGAGAGUUGUGUCGGUAAGUGUUCUGAGACCGGGCUCAAUUAGAGACAGGUAGUCAAUAUUUCAUCGCGUACACGUGUGUGUGUGUGUGUUUGCGUCCUCAGCAGGUAACGUCAGUUUGUCGGUGUCUGUCAGCAAUAACUCCACUCUGCUGGUUGAGUGGAACAGCGGGAGCAAACAGACGACCCAAUGUGCACUGCUCAUUUCAACUGAAGGAAGACAGGAGAUUCAGAUACACCUUGUACCAAGGUCCGGAUCUCUCCUACUGGAAAACAUGACAGACACUCUCAAACACUUUUUCUUGUGCUCCUGUUUCGAACAGUCUCAGGGACUCUUGUGCUCUAAGAACAUAAGCUUUGUCAUGGGUGCCGUUACCACACCAGCUCUGGUCCUGAUGUCAGAUACUCAGAACUCUGCCAGUUACAUCAGCAUGAAGUGGUUGAGUAGCGGUGUGUUUGGAACGACUUUAGCUACAUGUGUCAUUCUUCUAGUCUACAUUAUAUACAGAAGAUGGACGGGGAACGGCGUCUUCCGACUGCGUCUGAGAUAGAGAAAGACUCUUCUGGAAAUUCAAUAGCCUAGUUAAAAGAAGAGACAUUUUACUCCCACUGACAUUUCAUUCAAUCUCAAGUAUAUUGAUUUUGUAUUAACUAAACUGCAGCAGACCUUGGACAGAGUGAGCGCCAUAUUUAAUGUGAUGUGAAUGAAAACGAGGACAGAAGUACAGUUGUGCAUGUCGAUCAUUCAUCCACGAAAAGUCUUUAUUAAACAGACAUCUACUUUCAUUCAUGUCAAAUUAGAAAUAUUUUGACACACGAAUUUGAAUGACAGUUGAGAAUGUUUAUGUUUUCUGUCAUUACAAGUGAUAUACAUUUCUGUUUAAACCUUUAUAUUGUAUGUAAUGUUCAUAGGAAACAAAAAACAUUUUGAUGUCAUGCUGUGAAAGUAACAUUUAGGGUAUAAAACAUCUUUUGUCUCAUACGAAAACACAACUGCUGAAUGUGUAACUCUAACCUUGAGGUUUGUUUUUUCUGAAAAUGCUUUCUAAACUAUUAGAUCAGCCUGUUUUUAUUCUUGCAAACAAAUCAAGGUACCAAAACAACAGUCGUGCACAUGCACUAAGUUGCUGGCCAAAAGAGAACAUUAGCUAGCAUAGAAACGUGGUUGUUAACUGUCAUAGAUUCAGAAGCACAUUACAGUAGGCCUAAUUUUUUAUUAAAAAAAAGAUAAAAGAUCAGUUUUUGCAGCCGCACGCCUCUCACCUGGCAGAUCAAAAGCUGCUAAUGAAGGCUCUCAGCUCAAAGAAGGGCUCUUAAAGCAAGUGCUCAGACAGGAUGUGCUUUAAACACAAUGCUGGAAUUACCAUCCAGGCCACCAUUACAAACAAACAGUGUUUAAGUUAUGGACAAUAGAAAAGAGUAUAGUAGUACAUGUCAAGGAUAAUGUUCAGUCAGACAGUCAUUAUGGUUAAAUAAA